rnacentral:rRNA from 1 species
GACGAACGCUGGCGGCGUGCUUAACACAUGCAAGUCGAACGGAAAGGCCCUGCUUUUGUGGGGUGCUCGAGUGGCGAACGGGUGAGUAACACGUGAGUAACCUGCCCUUGACUUUGGGAUAACUUCAGGAAACUGGGGCUAAUACCGGAUAGGAGCUCCUGCUGCAUGGUUGUGGUUGGAAAGUUUCGGCGGUUGGGGAUGGACUCGCGGCUUAUCAUCUUGUUGGUUGGGUAGUGGCUUACCAAGUCUUUGACGGGUAGCCGGCCUGAGAGGGUGACCGGCCACAUUGGGACUGAGAUACGGCCAAGACUCCUACGGGAGGAAGCAGUGGGGAAUAUUGCACAAUGGGCGGAAGCCUGAUGCAGCAACGCCGCGUGCGGGAUGACGGCCUUCGGGUUGUAAACCGCUUUAGCCUGUGACGAAGCGUGAGUGACGGUAAUGGGUAAAGAAGCACCGGCUAACUACGUG